rnacentral:rRNA from 1 species
AUUGAACGCUGGCGGCAGGCUUAACACAUGCAAGUCGAACGAGUGGCGGACGGGUGAGUAAUGCUUGGGAAUCUAGCUUAUGGAGGGGGAUAACUACGGGAAACUGUAGCUAAUACCGCGUACCCUAGGAUGAGCCCAAGUGGGAUUGGGUAGUUGGUGAGGUAAAGGCUCACCAAGCCGACGAUCUCUAGCUGGUCUGAGAGGAUGACCAGCCACACCGGGACUGAGACACGGCCCAGACUCCGACGGACGGCAGCAUUGGGGAAUAUUGCGCAAUGGGGGCAACCUGACGCAGCCAUGCCGCGUGAAUGAAGAAGGCCUUCGGGUUGUAAAGUUCUUUCUGUAGCGAGGCGUUGACUACAGAAGAAGCACUGGCUAACUCCGUGCCAGCAGCCGCGGUAAUAC